rnacentral:snRNA from 1 species
UUGCUCGCUUCGGCAGCACAUAUACUAAAAUUGGAAUGAAACAGAGAUUAACAUGGCCCAUGCACAAGGAUGACACGCAAAUUUGUGAAGCAUUACAUAUUUUU